UUUCUCUGUUAGCCAACACAUCCCCGUUUUCCUAACAUGUUCUUUUAUCUACUUUAACCAUAGACCAGAAAUCACUUGUCUUCAUAGUUGUUGUUGCCUCCACAUCAACACACAGCAGAUAGAGAGAGGAGUAAGAGAGACAAAGUAGAGAGGUAGAGAGAACUGAGCGACUGUGAUUGAGGAACCGGCGCCAACCGCCGUUGAGGAAGCGGGAACUGUUGUUACGACGUCACCAACUGCCUCCGACUGAACCAGAGUCUGUGAUGACGACGGCGAGUUCUAGAGUCCCGAUCUCUCAAUUGGUCGCCGGUUGUGGCUUCUCGAUGGUGGUCGGCCGGUUAACGGGGAUAUCCGACAAUACCCACAAAAAACCACCGCUGGUGCUUUGACAUAGACAAUAAAUAAGGAGCGACAGAACACGUUGGUGAGCACUCCGGCAGUUCUUUCACUCCGGCGAUGGCGGUUUGGACCUGAACCAGGGACCGCUUGUCCUUGCACUGCCACUGCUUCCUCCUCCCUCUCCACCACACCACCGACUUCACUCCGGCGAUGGGCGGUUUGGAAUUGAAUCAGCGAGGUCGUCUCCUUCUUCCACUGCCGCUGCUUCCUCCUCCUUCUCCAGUGACAAUAGCAAAUGGUAAUCCUAUCAAUUGUGCUAAGAUGUGUAAAGGGUUUAAAUGGAUGAUGCAUGGUAUGUGGUUUGAUGCUGAUGUGUUGUUAACAUCUCUAGAAAACUAUGCAUGAUAUGGUACUAGGAAUUUAGUGGUUAUCACCCUUAGGGGAUAUCAUAUAGAAUUUUAAGCAACUGACUAUUGAAAUUCAAGUUGAUGGGUUAAGUAGUUGUUAAAAGGGGUUUAUUGCUAAUGGGGUCAGUUUAUGUUCAAUAGAAAAAAUGGAUCAAUUGUUAAGUUUUCCAAAUCAGUGGAUUCGUUCACAGAUGUUUAGUUUACAAUUAACGAUGGAGGGAUAAAACAUCCAAAGUACAAGUGACAGUGUGACACCAAAGAGUUAGUGGACCCUUAAGUAGCGGCCUUACUUUAACAAUAUUAAGAUGUGUUUGAUGAGCCUAAAGGCUUACCACCAUCAAAGAAUUAUGAUCAUAGGAUCAUUCUUAAAAAUGAAGACAUAAAUAUCAACCUAAAAUCCUAUAGAUAUUAGUCUAUUCAGAAAGAUGUAAUUGAAAAGAUGACAAAUGAGAUGUUGGAAUAUGGAGUAUGUUCAUUUUAUGGCUUUAUGUCAUCCUUUUUUUUGCUGCAACUUUAGCUCAAGCUUCUUAGAAAAUGUGUAUAAACUACAUUGCUAUAUAAUAAACUUCUUCAACGUAUACAAAAGGAUUCACAAUUUAACAUAAAGUGUUAAAAUCAUAACGGAAGACAGUCAGUUUGGUUCACUUUCCAGAAUAUACAAAACUGUAACCGAAUCACAAAAUCUGUUUUCAGAAAAUACAAAACUCAACUGUCGAUUAUAUGUAUUGUUCCGUUAUGCCAAGUUAAUAUGGUUUCGGUUCGGUCCUUUUUUUUCAGUUUUCUACAAGCUCAGUCUUGGAAUGCAUUUCAAACAUACAGUUGUAAAUAUUGGGUGUAAUAUCAAAUGUUGUAAUAUGUGGAUUCUAAAUUUGAUAUUUAUAAGUAUAAAUUCUUUUUGAUGGUUAUAGAUAGUCCUUAUCGUGUAUGAAAAUUUUGGAUUUGAUCCCUAACUUUUUAAAAGUACACGGACGGUCAUAGUGGUUUGCACUUUAUAACGUAUUUAGUACUCAACUCAGCCAAAAGUCACAUGAAUGGUCCCCGUGGUUUGCAUUUUAUAACGCAAUUAGUUCCUAAUUUGGACCUGCUGAAACCUUUGACAUGUUGGCUAGAGACUAUAUGCGUUACAAAGUGCAAACCACAUGGACCAUUUGUGUUCUUUUGAAAAGCAAAUGAUCAAAUCGAUGGUGUUUCUUUUGUUGAGAAGUGGCGGUGUUCUUUAAACACAUUGCAGGUAUAUAACAUUUCAAAUUUUCUUUCCCCUGGUUGAUAAUAUCUGUUCAAUAAGUGUUUGUGUUUUCGUGAUUACAGUAGAUGUUAGGGAUUUGUUUUGAAACCUUUUGUUUUGUCGAUGUGUUUCAUCUUUUAUGCAAUUAGCUUUAAUUUUAUUGGAAUUCAUAUAUUUUUGCUUUUAAUCAUGGUUGUAAAAGUCCCGACUAGGCUCCGAGUACUCCCCGAGUACUCGCUACAAGGUAGGUUGCCGAGGCACGAGUACUCUUCUCCCAGGCCAAUUACUCCCCGAGUACUCCCGAAUACUCCCGAGUACCUCCCGAGUACUCCCGAGAUUAAAUGAGGCAAAGGAAAAUUUAUAGUUAUAAGUGUCGUUUGUCAUCGUCGCACCUAUUAUCGCCGGUCAACGACCGCAACAACAAUCUUAGAUUAGUAGAUUAUUGUAUCACCAAGUAGACAUGGGUUGAGUCUGUGUGAACUGAUUACAUACGUGUAACAUAUAACCAGGGCUGGCUCAGCCAUUUUGUCAGACCAAAGCGAAAAAAGAAAUUGGGGCCCUUCCCCAAGGUGAGUUCAUCUACAUUUAUGGGUUUAUCUACCAUAACUAAUUCAUUAUCUUUUAUGUUUGCUACGAAUAUGAGUAAAAAAACCUUUUUUGUGGUUCCAUUUUAGUUUCUAAUUUUUGUUUGUUUUUCCUUUUUAUUGACAAAGCUCUAUUUGAUACUUUUGAUUUUGAUUAGAAUCAAAUAAUCAAUUUACUAUUAACAAGGGAAACAUUGGCGGAAACAUACAGACUGAUGGUCUUAUAUACAUGAGUGUUAUAUGUGGUGUGUAGAUACCGCCGCAACUCGCAUUUCAGCAGCAUGAAUGAUAGAAUCUGCCUCAAAUGCUAGAUGGUAAUAUCACAGUCCAGUCUAUUCAGAUGUAGAGGCAAAGAUGAGGCGUUUUUUGGUUGAUUUGGAGUCCAAAUGUGCAUCACUAUGAAAAACAAACUUUUUUAUGAUUGGAUAUACUGAUCAGUAUGACUACUACAAAGCUAUUCGUUGCACUAUAUAUACUUUUAUGCUUUUUAGUUCAGGUUUGUGUGUACAAAGACUGGACAAGUGAUAAUCGAUACCACAACUGGAAUACUGGGAAAUGGUAGCGCUUUUUCAUGUUCAAAAGGGAUUACUUCUUGAACACAAACCCGAAGAAGCAGCCGCAAUAAUUCAGUUAGAUUAUAGUGGGAUUCAUUUUGUAUAACUUCGUUUUGUACAUCCUUGACAUAUAGGCUAGGCGAUGCGACUAUGGAAUGUUGAUGUAACAAACACUUGGUUUAUCGAGUAUGAUACAUAUGAAUGAAUCCCCGCCGCAUCGCAGCGGGUGUUAAAUCCUAGUUAAAUAUAA